UAUAUAGCAUCCUUAUCACUUUGAAAUGCUCCCUGCUACACUACUCUCUGGUCCAUGCAUGGCUCAACAAGCGCUCAAGUACAACUAGGGAAUUUGUCAAAGACUCAAAAUAGAUGAUUGCAGUGUCUUUCUUCUGAUUGUGACUUAAUGCCACAAGCAAUUGGUCCACCUUUUGGAUUAAAGCAAACCACCUAUGGAGAGGGAUUCAGAGCAAAAGAAAUACAAAAUAAAUGGCUGAUGCAUUUCAGGAAGAUUGUGAUUAUCUAUUCAAGACAGUUCUUACUGGAGACUCUGUGGUUGGGAGAUCAAAUCUUAUCUGAAGGUUUGCAAAUGAUGAAUUCCGUGUUUUUCCAGCAAAGGACAUAGAUUGAUUGCAAGUGUCUGUAGCGAGGGAGGCAGGCCAUUCUUUGGUAAGGACAUCAACUUUUGGCAAUCAUGGAUACAAAGCUCUAGGAGUGAGGGAGGCAGGCCAUUCUUUGGUAAGGACAUCAACUUUUGGCAAUCCCAGAUACGAAGCUUUAGGAGUGAGGGAGGCAGGCCAUUCUUUGGUAAGGACAUCAACUUUUGGCAAUGAAAGAUAUUAAGCACUAGGAGCGAAGGAGGCAGGCCAUCCUCUAGAAAACAUGUGAGCUUCUCGCAGUGAUAGAUCGACAAAUCUUUAAGAGAGGUGAGUUUUCUUAAGCCCUCGGAAGACAGGUAUUCCAGAUUCGAGAAUUUUGAGAUGUGGAGGCUUGUUAGAGAGGCAGGCAACGUCAUCUCUGGAAAGGACACCAAAUUCUGACAUCCACCAAUUUGAAGUCGAUUUAGGUAAGUGAAUUUGUCCAGCCCCCAAUCGAACAAGGCUUGAGUGAUUUUAAUAUCACCGAUCUCAAGUGUUGUUAGGUUUGUGGGAAAACCUUCUUUGGGAAAUGAUAAAAUGCUCGGACAAUUCCAUAUUUUCAAAUGUUGAAGAGAGGUGAGGAGGAGCAACUGAUCUCCACCAUUCAACAAUUGAAGAUUUUCACAAUAGGCGAUGGUGAUAUCUGUAAUUCUCCGCUUGAUGUUAAGGAUUCAAGGGAUGGACAAUAGUAAACUUGCAAGAACUCAAGAAGAGAUGUGAUGCCACUACAGAAAGUGCUGUUGUUGUUUGUAUCAUUAUCAUCAUCCUCCACCAAAUUCCUC